rnacentral:rRNA from 1 species
UUUUUGGAGAGUUUGAUCCUGGCUCAGAGUGAACGCUGGCGGCGUGGAUUAGGCAUGCAAGUCGAGCGAACCCGCAAGGGUUAGCGGCAAAAGGGUGAGUAACACGUAAGUAAUCUUCCUUUAAAACGGGGAUAGCACCGUGAAAACGGUGGUAAUAUUCGAUAGAAUCGAGAGUCCGCAUGGACAUUCGAUUAAAGGUGGGGAUCCUUCGGGACCUGCCACUUGGGGAUGAGCUUGCGUACCAUCAGCUAGUUGGUAGGGUAAUGGCCUACCAAGGCUAAGACGGUUA